rnacentral:rRNA from 1 species
UACAUGGGGUGCAAACGUUGCUCGGAAUUAUUGGGCGUAAAGCGCACGUAGGCGGUUCGUUAAGUCGGAUGUGAAAGCCCUCGGCUCAACUGAGGAAGUGCACCCGAAACUGGCGAGCUUGAGUACGAAAGAGGAUCGCGGAAUUCCCGGUGUAGAGGUGAAAUUCGUAGAUAUUACGGAAGAACACCAGUGGCGAAGGCGACUUACUGGACACAUAUUGACGCUGAGGUGCGAAAGCGUGGGGAGCAAACAGGG